AUUGAACGCUGGCGGCAGGCCUAACACAUGCAAGUCGAGCGGAGCGGCGGACGGGUGAGUGAUGCCUAGGAGUCUGCCUGGUAGUGGGGGAGAGCGUCCGGAAACGGGCGCUAAUACAGAAUACUAUCAGAUGAGCCUAGGUCGGAUUAGCUAGUUGGUGGGGUAAGGGCCUACCAAGGCGACGAUCCGUACCUGGUCUGAGAGGAUGAUCAGUCACACUGGAACUGAGACACGGUCCAGACUCCUACGGGAGGCAGCAGUGGGGAAUAUUGGACAAUGGGCGAAAGCCUGAUCCAGCCAUGCCGCGUGUGUGAAGAAGGUCUUCGGAUUGUAAAGCACUUUAAGUUGGGAGGCGUUACCAACAGAAUAAGCACCGGCUAACUCCGUGCCAGCAGCCGCGGUAAUAC
rnacentral:rRNA from 1 species